UACGUAGGGGGCAAGCGUUGUCCGGAAUCAUUGGGCGUAAAGAGCGUGUAGGCGGCCUGAUAAGUCGGCUGUGAAAGUCAAGGGCUCAACCCUUGAAUGCCGGCCGAUACUGUCAGGCUAGAGUCCGGAAGAGGCGAGUGGAAUUCCUGGUGUAGCGGUGAAAUGCGCAGAUAUCAGGAGGAACACCGGUGGCGAAGGCGGAUCUCUGGGCCAUUACUGACGCUGAGGAGCGAAAGCGUGGGGAGCGAACAGG
rnacentral:rRNA from 1 species